rnacentral:lncRNA from 1 species
AGAGAUAGCCCCUAUCCCAAAAGAAAAGAAAAAGGAGAGAGAUGGAUCAUACAAAAAGGAAUCCAUACACCAUCCACCAUCCACACACAUACACAUCUUGAUUAGGUUGUAUUACUUGCUUCUUCCAAGGAUCCGGUCUUUGACUUAGCAAUACAUGAGAAACAAGUAUGCCUUCAUCUUCUCCACCUAUAGCUUCACAUAUAAGCCUAUUAGGAGUAGGUUGUGAAAGAAAGAUAAA